UACGAUGGGAGGGCUAGCGUUGUCGGAAUCACUGGGCGUAAAGGGUGCGUAGGUGGCCAACUAAGUCAGACGUGAAAUCCCUCGGCUUAACCGGGGAACUGCGUCCGAUACUGGUUGGCUUGAGUUUGGGAGAGGGAUGCGGAAUUCCAGGUGUAGCGGUGAAAUGCGUAGAUAUCUGGAGGAACACCGGUGGCGAAGGCGGCAUCCUGGACCAAUACUGACGCUGAGGAGCGAAAGCCAGGGAGCAAAGCGGG
rnacentral:rRNA from 1 species